rnacentral:rRNA from 1 species
CAACAGGGAUUGCCCCAGUAACGGCGAGUGAAGCGGCAACAGCUCAAAUUUGAAAUCUGGCCCCUAGGGUCCGAGUUGUAAUUUGUAGAGGAUGCUUUUGGUGAGGUGCCGCCCGAGUUCCCUGGAACGGGACGCCGCAGAGGGUGAGAGCCCCGUCUGGCUGGCCACCGAGCCUAUGUAAAGCUCCUUCGACGAGUCGAGUAGUUUGGGAAUGCUGCUCAAAAUGGGAGGUAUAUGUCUUCUAAAGCUAAAUAUUGGCCAGAGACCGAUAGCGCACAAGUAGAGUGAUCGAAAGAUGAAAAGCACCUUGAAAAGAGGGUUAAACAGUACGUGAAAUUGUUGAAAGGGAAGCGCUUGUGACCAGACUUGGGCGCGGCGGAUCAUCCGGGGUUCUCCCCGGUGCACUUCGCCGCGUUCAGGCCAGCAUCAGUUCGGCGCGGGGGAAAAAGGCUUCGGGAACGUGGCUCCUCCGGGAGUGUUAUAGCCCGUUGCAUAAUACCCUGCGCUGGACUGAGGACCGCGCAUCUGCAAGGAUGCUGGCGUAAUGGUCACCAGCGACCCGUCUUGAAACACG